rnacentral:rRNA from 1 species
GUAGGGGGCAAGCGUUGUCCGGAAUUAUUGGGCGUAAAGCGCGCGCAGGCGGUUCUUUAAGUCUGAUGUGAAAGCCCACGGCUCAACCGUGGAGGGUCAUUGGAAACUGGAGAACUUGAGUACAGAAGAGGAAAGCGGAAUUCCACGUGUAGCGGUGAAAUGCGUAGAGAUGUGGAGGAACACCAGUGGCGAAGGCGGCUUUCUGGUCUGUAACUGACGCUGAGGCGCGAAAGCGUGGGGAGCGAACAGGGAUUAGAUACCCUGGUAGUCCACGCCGUAAACGAUGAGUGCUAAGUGUUAGGGGGUUUCCCGCCCCUUAGUGCUGCAGCUAACGCAUUAAGCACUCCGCCUGGGGAGUACGGCCGCAAGGCUG